GAUGAAGAACGUAGCGAAAUGCGAUACUUGGUGUGAAUUGCAGAAUCCCGUGAACCAUCGAGUCUUUGAACGCAAGUUGCGCCGAAGCCAUCAGGUUGAGGGCACGUCUGCCUGGGCGUCACAUAUCGUUGCCCAAUGCCUAUUGCAGUGCAAUAGGAAUUUCUAGGGCGAAUGAUGGCUUCCCGUGAGCGUUGUUGCCUCGCGGUUGGUUGAAAAUCGAGUCCUUGGUAGGGUGUGCCAUGGUAGAUGGUGGUCGAGUUAGAACGAUACCGAUCAUGUGCAUGCUCCCCAAAAUAUGGCCUCUAUGACCCACACGCGUCUUUUGACGCUCAUGACGAGACCUCAGGUCAGGCGGGGCUACCCGCUGAAUUUAAGCAUAUCAAUAAGCGGAGGA
rnacentral:misc_RNA from 1 species